UACGGAGGGUGCAAGCGUUAAUCGGAAUUACUGGGCGUAAAGCGUACGUAGGCGGCUUGUUAAGCAAGAUGUGAAAUCCCCGGGCUCAACCUGGGAAUGGCAUUUUGAACUGGCAGGCUCGAGUUCUGAAGAGGGUGGUAGAAUUUCCAGUGUAGCGGUGAAAUGCGUAGAUAUUGGAAGGAACACCAGUGGCGAAGGCGGCCUUCUGGCCUUAACCUGACGCUGAGGAGCGAAAGCUAGGGGAGCAAACGGG
rnacentral:rRNA from 1 species